AACGAACGCUGGCGGCGUGGAUAAGACAUGCAAGUCGAACGGGAACUUCAGCUGUAGCAAUACAGUUGAAGUUUUAGUGGCGAACGGGUGCGUAACACGUGGGCAAUCUGCCGAAAAGUGGGGGAUAGCUCGCCGAAAGGCGAAUUAAUACCGCAUAUGAUCAGCUAAGACAUCUUAGCGACAUCAAAGCCGGGGCAACCUGGCGCUUUUUGAGGAGCCCGCGGCCAUCAGCUAGUUGGUGAGGUAACGGCUCACCAAGGCUAUGACGGGGUAGCUGGUCUGAGAGGACGACCAGUCACACUGGAACUGAGACACGGUCCAGACACCUACGGGUGCAGCAGUCGAGAAUUUUUCNCAAUGGGGAAACCCUGAAGGAGCGACGCCGCGUGGAGG
rnacentral:rRNA from 1 species